GGCGAAAGCCGGAUUAAUACCGCAUACGCACUGAGGUGGAAAGCGGGGGACCUUCGGGCCUCGCGCUGUUGGAGCGGCCGAUGUCGGAUUAGCUGGUUGGUGGGGUAAGAGCCCACCAAGGCGACGAUCCGUAGCGGGUCUGAGAGGACGGCCCGCCACACUGGAACUGAGACACGGUCCAGACUCCUACGGGAGGCAGCAGUGGGGAAUUUUGGACAAUGGGGGCAACCCUGAUCCAGCCAUGCCGCGUGAGUGAAGAAGGCCUUCGGGUUGUAAAGCUCUUUCGGCCGGAACGAAAUGGGCGGGGUGAACAAUCCCGUUCGAUGACGGUACCGGAAGAAGAAGCACCGGCUAACUACGUGCCAGCAGCCGCGGUAAUACGUAGGGUGCGAGCGUUAAUCGGAAUUACUGGGCGUAAAGCGUGCGCAGGCGGCCUCUUAAGACAGGUGUGAAAUCCCCGGGCUUAAC
rnacentral:rRNA from 1 species